AUGCAGUUUGGAAUGUUGAUUGAGUUUCUCUUUGAGAAGUUCCAGAUGGGGAGGUUACUGAUCAGGAUAUUGGAGAACUAGAGGUACCCAUGUCAAGCUCCCUGGUCCUUUCUUGAAAGAACCAAAUACGAAUUUCACACCUCUUACAUUAAGAUGAUACGGUUCGUAUGAACUAGGAGGCGUUUACAAUAAGACGAUACGGCUUUGUGAGGCUUCAAAGAGUAUUAACAAGUAAAAAUGUGAAGCGACUAAUGGUGACUGCCAUGAAGCAGAUGCAGCUGUUGGUUAGAGUCCAAACACAAAUUCAGUCACGUAGAAUCCAUAUGUCAAAGAAUCAAGCACAAGAACUAUCAUCAUUAGAAGUAAGAUAUAAUUUCUUGGCCUUUUUUCUAAAAUACAUGGCUUUUUGUUUUAACAUAAGAUAUAUUCGCAGUCAAAUUUCUAACAAAAACAGCCAUUUAAUAAGCACCAAAGAGAUUACAAACUAGAAAAAAGACGCAAAAUUGUCUAUCACAUUAAUUAUUUAUUAAAAGUCUUUAAGAGAUUGACAAUUGGUUUGUAGGUCAAUCUAACCCAAUAAUCCAACUAUAACGACCAGCCAACCACAGCCUGCCAUGUCAACCCCCCCCCCCCCCCCCCCCCCGCAGGCAGAAUCUCCACGCCAAGCGGCCAACGCUGAUCAAAACGCCAACCCAGGGUGGAGCCCCCGGCUUUAAACGGCCAAAACACCCAAAACCCACGCCCACACCCAACAGUCAAUGUGAAACAUAAAACACUUUUAUGCAGAUUUUUCUGCACUGUACAGUGCACACUGCACAACUCUACAACAUUGACUCUUUGCUGCAAGUAAUAGAGAUUUAAAACAACAAGUUUAGUUUAUUCAAGGUUCUAAAAAUUUAAUUUAAAAUAUAAUAGUUUAUCAAUAUUUUGGUUCUUUGAGGUUUAUUAGUUCUAUAUAUAGCUUAUUUUUGGUUCUAUAAAAACAUAAAGCUUCUAGAAUUGAAUUAUAGUUUUUUUUAUCUUAUUUUUUUUGUUUAAAGAUUAAUAACGUAGAAAAUAUUCUCUAAAAUUAAAUAUAGAGAUUUUUAGUACCAAACGCCUCGUUUACGUGAAGCUCACGCCUAGCGCUUUGCGCCUUGGUUUUUAGGGCUGCAGCCAUGGAGAAUUAAUAUUUUGAUAAAUAUUAUUUGUCAUCAUUUAAUAUUAAUUUAUCAAUGAAUUUUUGAAAAUGACAAAAACUCACAGAUUUAACCACUUUGGUGGCAGCUCAGAGCGUUUCUAAUCGAGUGUUAUUUAGUCAAAAAUGAUUUUUUGUUCUAGCCUUUUAGGGGCUUUUGUUGGAGUGUACUUGAAAGUCUGCAAGUGUGGGUGUGGGGGUUGAUUGCUGGAAGUGGGCUUUCGAUACAUCAGGUAUGUUCACUGUUCGAAGUUUCAGGAAUCAUCUGCAUCAGGCUAGGUUCUUGGACCUGGGAACGGGUUUUGUUGUAACAACUUGACGCCUAUUAAGGUUAAUUUCCUGGACUGGAGAGUGUCACUAAAUAGGGUCUCAACGAACCUGGAGGAUGUUUUGUCCAUGGUAUGUCCUUUGAUUCGUGCCAGCUGUACCGGAGACAGUGGAUUAUCAAAUUUAAUGAUAAUGUUCUGGGAGACUUCAAUGGUGAAGCUGUGAUAGGCCAGUUUCCCUUGUUAUGAUUGGGGGAGAAAGAGUUUGUUUACGAAUGCUGCAUAACUUCUACGGCUUCACCUGCAUCGAUAGAGGGUUCUUACAUGUUUAUCCCGGGCAGGCGUGUCGUGCUAUGCUCAUCAUAUCUUUUUUUAGCAUUUGUAUUAGAUAAAUUUGUAAAAUGUGUGUAAUCUGUUUGCAGAUUGGCGGAUCCACAACGAAGCCCCUUUGAGGUUGAAAUUGCUAGAUUUCCUUUGGUUUUGCCAGAGUACAUCUUCUGAUGCAACUAUUCUGUUAUCCAUGGUCACUAUCUUGGCUUAAAGCCGUUUGUUUGAUUUCUGUCUCGACCCGUUAGUUAUACUUGUUAGGUAACUGGCUCGGUCUUGGUCUUUUCGGGUUGGGUCUGUUCACAACUGAAUAUCGUUUUAAGGUUUGCUUUAUAUUCCCGUCUG